rnacentral:rRNA from 1 species
AAACUGAAGAGUUUGAUCCUGGCUCAGAUUGAACGCUAGCGGGAUGCUUUACACAUGCAAGUCGAACGGCAGCGCGAGAGAGCUUGCUCUCUUGGCGGCGAGUGGCGGACGGGUGAGUAAUAUAUCGGAACGUGCCCAGUAGCGGGGGAUAACUACUCGAAAGAGUGGCUAAUACCGCAUACGCCCUACGGGGGAAAGGGGGGGAUCGCAAGACCUCUCACUAUUGGAGCGGCCGAUAUCGGAUUAGCUAGUUGGUGGGGUAAAGGCUCACCAAGGCAACGAUCCGUAGCUGGUUUGAGAGGACGACCAGCCACACUGGGACUGAGACACGGCCCAGACUCCUACGGGAGGCAGCAGUGGGGAAUUUUGGACAAUGGGGGAAACCCUGAUCCAGCCAUCCCGCGUGUAUGAUGAAGGCCUUCGGGUUGUAAAGUACUUUUGGCAGAGAAGAAAAGGUACCUCCUAAUACGAGGUACUGCUGACGGUAUCUGCAGAAUAAGCACCGGCUAACUACGUGCCAGCAGCCGCGGUAAUACGUAGGGUGCAAGCGUUAAUCGGAAUUACUGGGCGUAAAGCGUGUGUAGGCGGUUCGGAAAGAAAGAUGUGAAAUCCCAGGGCUCAACCUUGGAACUGCAUUUUUAACUGCCGAGCUAGAGUAUGUCAGAGGGGGGUAGAAUUCCACGUGUAGCAGUGAAAUGCGUAGAUAUGUGGAGGAAUACCGAUGGCGAAGGCAGCCCCCUGGGAUAAUACUGACGCUCAGACACGAAAGCGUGGGGAGCAAACAGGAUUAGAUACCCUGGUAGUCCACGCCCUAAACGAUGUCAACUAGCUGUUGGGGCCGUUAGGCCUUAGUAGCGCAGCUAACGCGUGAAGUUGACCGCCUGGGGAGUACGGUCGCAAGAUUAAAACUCAAAGGAAUUGACGGGGACCCGCACAAGCGGUGGAUGAUGUGGAUUAAUUCGAUGCAACGCGAAAAACCUUACCUACCCUUGACAUGUCUGGAAAGCCGAAGAGAUUUGGCCGUGCUCGCAAGAGAACCGGAACACAGGUGCUGCAUGGCUGUCGUCAGCUCGUGUCGUGAGAUGUUGGGUUAAGUCCCGCAACGAGCGCAACCCUUGUCAUUAGUUGCUACGCAAGAGCACUCUAAUGAGACUGCCCGGUGACAAACCGGAGGAAGGUGGGGAUGACGUCAAGUCCUCAUGGCCCUUAUGGGUAGGGCUUCACACGUCAUACAAUGGUCGGGACAGAGGGUCGCCAACCCGCGAGGGGGAGCCAAUCUCAGAAACCCGAUCGUAGUCCGGAUCGCAGUCUGCAACUCGACUGCGUGAAGUCGGAAUCGCUAGUAAUCGCGGAUCAGAAUGUCGCGGUGAAUACGUUCCCGGGUCUUGUACACACCGCCCGUCACACCAUGGGAGUGGGUUUCACCAGAAGUAGGUAGCCUAACCGUAAGGAGGGCGCUUACCACGGUGGGAUUCAUGACUGGGGUGAAGUCGUAACAAGGUAGCCGUAUCGGAAGGUGCGGCUGGAUCACCUCCUUU